UUCCAUCUGUAGCUCCGAAGCCUGAAGAUCGGGUGUUGAUGCCCACGUGUGAGACGUGUUUUCUCCCUCACACUGCGUUUCGUCCACACAUCACCCAUCUGACG